UAAUGACGUUAUUCAUUGCGGCAUAAGUUCAAAAUUUUAUUUUCCUGGAGAUUGUGACAGCUCGUGAUAGCAGAUUCUCCCAUUCCCUCUAGGUUGAAAUUGCAGAGUUUUAAUAUUCUGUAGCAGGGCUGGUGGUGCACGCAUUCUCAAGGUGGCCUAUAGAAUUUCCUAACGUUGUGUCCCGUGUGCUUCUUGUUGUCGUCCCACGUAAUUUUUUCGCUAGUUAAUGAUCUCUCAAGUCGGCAAAUACACUAGUUU
rnacentral:lncRNA from 1 species